CCUUAACACCGGGGAUGAACAACUUUUGUCACGUGACCGCAAAAGUCAACGCCGGUUGCAGAAACAGAUUGUAAUCUUGUACAUUAAGAAACAUGACGCUCGUGUGUGAAAUCUGUGGAAAGACAUUUAAAUCGAAGUGGGGGUUAAAGCUUCAUGAUAAGCGCCACAGAGGGACUGGACGAUUCGCCUGUUGUGGAAAAACAUUUUACACAAAACAGGCGUUCAACAGACACAGAUGCAGCAUUCAUGGUGUUGAAAAGCCGUUCCCCUGUGAACAAUGCGGCAAAAAGUUUUCAACCAAAGAUGACCUGAAUCGUCACGUCCGGAGGGAGGUUGCUGCAAAGCAAUUUACCUGCUCAAUUUGCAAUGCAACGCUCCGGGAGAAAAUUGACCUUCAGGCCCACCUUGCCACCCACAAUGGAGAGAAAAACUUUGCUUGUGAUAUGUGUGAAAAGAGGUACAGGCACCGCAGUAGUCUAUCAAAGCACAGAUCUGCAAAGCACCGGGCCUAGUCAUCUGUUGCAUGACGAUGAUAAGACCAAGAAUUAUUUUUAAUUCUUACCAAUGUGCCGUGGUUAUUUUCUUAAUUAUUGAAAAUACAGACUGUCAUACAAUAAUAUAUAGUAUUACGCGUGUUUUUGCGUCUUAAACAUUGUGUUUCAUAUCGUUUAUCUUGUGUUGUUUUGUUUGAUAUUCCUGUUUUUAAUAAGAUUAUUGUUGUAAUAUUUAUCAUUCUAAUUUAAAAUGAUUAUGAUAAUGGUUGAUCUCAUACAAAUUAUUGUGUUCAUUAUUGCUCAUCUGUGAUUACUGUUGAUCUCAGCCCAUGAAUUGUGAUUUAUAUUGAUUAUCUGUGAUUAUUGUUGAUCUUAUCAAAAUAAUUGUAAUUUAUGUUGAUUAUCUUUGAAUUUUUUAUCUUAACCUAUUAAUAGUGAUUUAUAUUAUCUGUGAUUAUUGUUGAUCUUAUCAAAAUCAUUGUGAUUUAUGUUGAUUAUCUGUGAUUAUUGUUGAUCUCAACCGAUUAAUUGUGAUUUAUAUAACCAGUGAUUAUUGUUGAUCUUAUCAAAAUCAUUGUAAUUUAUGUUGAUUAUCUGUGAUUAUUGUUGAUCUUUUCGAAAUCAUUGUAAUUUAUGUUGAUUAUCUGUGAUUAUUGUUGAUCUUUUCGAAAUCAUUGUAAUUUAUGUUGAUUAUCUGUGAUUAUUGUUGAUCUUUUCAAAAUCAUUGUAAUUUAUGUUGAUUAUCUGUGAUUAUUGUUGAUCUCACCAUAUCCGCUGGAAUAUACAUUUGAGCCGCGCUCUGUGAAAAGGGGGUUUAAUGCAUGUGCGUAAAGUGCAGUCCACAUAGGCUAAUCAGGGACGGCACUUUCCGCUUUUAUGAUAUGUUUUGUUAAAAGAAAGUCUCUUCUGAGCAAAAAUCGAGUUUAUCGGAAAGGUUUGUCCCUAAUUAGCCUGUACGGAAUGCACAGGCUAAUAUGUGACGACACCUUACGCACAUGCAUUAAACCCCCUUUUCACAGAGCGAGACUCAUUUGUAAUCUGCGAUUUUUGUUUAUCUAUUUCGAAUCAAUAUGAUUAAAAUAUAUUUUUGGUGAGUUAGCUUUUUGUCUCAUUGGAAUCAUUGUGCGAAUUGUCAACAAUUACAUGUAAAUCUGUAAUUCCUUCUCAAGUUGCACAUAGGCCAGUUUAAUGUUUUGCGUAUAAGCUAUUAUUGCGAUACGGGAUAUUCUUUGCAGCAAUAAAACAAUUAAUCUGCA